GGAUUAAUUUAUUGGUCGUGCUAUUGUACGUACUGGUAUUAUUGAUUCCUACCUUCUGACGAACCAUGAUGUCAUUAAUUUGGUGUCAUGGGGAAUCAGGACUGUUACUUUGAAAAAAUUAGAGUGUUCAAAGCAGGCGUAACUUGCAUUCGAAUACAUUAGCAUGGGAUAAUAGAAUAC
rnacentral:rRNA from 1 species